AGUCGCAUGUUAACUUAUUUCCAAGACUCUGAUGUUUCUAACCUUUUAAAGAUUUCAGAGAAUUAAUGGGACACAUGAGAUUUUCACAGUCCUGGCCCUGCAGUCAUCCAAUUGGAGAAUGAGCCAAUCCUCUUUCGCAAGGGCAGUUAUCCCAGACAAGUUCAUGUUCCAAGAAGCCAGAUCAGUGUUUCCGGAGACCGUGGCAGAUACUUGGUGGCAUUGGGGUGUUGCAUUGGACUGAAGCCUCUUCAGAACACUGAGGAUAUACCAAUUCAUUUUAGAAGCCUCCAAGACAGAACAGAGUUUUGGAAUCAGAGAAGGAGACAAAUGAUUCCAAGGACGUUAAAAGAGAAGAAAAGCUAAUGCACACAAUUGGUGUAAAUUCUCUCCCAUUGCACCAAAACAGGAAGCAUGUCUACUAUUCCCUCUCUUUACUGUCCCAAGUUAAAUGGAACAAAAGAAAAACCUCGCCGGGGCGCGGUGGCUCACACCGGUAAUCUCAACGCUUUGGGAGGCCGAGGCGGGAGGAUCACGAGGUCAGGAGUUUGACCAGCCUGGCCAACAUAGUGAAACCCUGUCUCUACUAAAAAUACAAAAAUUAGCCAAGAGUGGUGGCACACGUCUCUAGUACCAGCUACUCGGGAGGCUGAGGCAGGAGAAUCACUUGAACCCAGGCCGAGAUCAUGCCACAGCACUCCAGCCUGGGCAACGGAGCGAGACUCUGUCUCAAAACAAAAAGAGAAAGAAAAAAAAGAAAAAUCUCUGCCAGUUACUGUGCGGCAUGACCUUGGACACUUUAUUGCUCCACUCUGAGCACCAGGGCCCUCUUAUGGAAAAUGUCUGUUUCCCCGGUAUUUGUAAGGAUAGAACAAGUGGACAAAUGGAACUCUCCUAUGCAAUGCGGUGAGAGCACACAGUCAGAGUUUGGUGAUUGUUCUCUUCUCCCUUUCUAUUUAUGGCUCCUAGCCCUCACUGCUUCACUCCUUGAUAUUCAUAAUGUCUUGACUUUAUCAGCACAAUGAUGUGCUUUGGGUUAGGAGAUAAAAAGGUUGAGACAUAUUCCAGGCUAUGCUGCUCACUAUGAAUGGUUCAGUUUUGGAUCUGAGUUUGCUGGUAUAUUUGUUUCCCACAUUUACACUGUUGAUACAACUGUGAAUUGAAAAAAACCUCUACCAUGAUAUUCUGCAUUUAAGAAAUCACCUUUGUUGUUAUUGUUUAUAUUAUAAAGUUAUUGCUUGCUUAAUAUUUUAAUUGAGAUUUUAAAAAGACAAGUAUAACAAAAACAAAAAUUAGUCAUAAUUCCAGCUUAUUAUUAACAUUCUGAUAUAUUUUUUUCUGGCCUCUAUGUGUCCAUACAUGCAACAUAUAUAGAGAUGGAUAUAGAUACACACAAAAAUACCAUAUACAUACAUAUACAUGUUACAUGCCUGUAUGUGAAAAUGUAUAUUUUCAAAUAUGCAUAAAUGUACAUAUAAAUACAUACACAUAUAUAUGUAUACACACAUAUAUUAACAUGCAAAUAUAUACUGUAUAUGUAAAUAGUGGAUAUGUAUGUGUGUAUGACCUAAUAGAUUGUUUCCAUUCCAUUUUUUUCUGUAUUAUUAAUAAUGUUAUAACCUAGAUAUUAUCAUCUUUCAUCUCAAUUUGUAUUGUAACCAUAAGGUGGAUUUCAAAAAGUAGACCCAUGAGUCCUAGGCAGUCUAAUAUUUAGUUCUUAUGGAUUCAAAUGGUGCAUCUGUCAGGAUUUCUUUGGGCUGCUCAGUGGUAAUGACGUAUCAACGGUUUAAUAUUUUGAAUUGAAACUAUUUUCUAAGGUUAUGGACAUUUUAAAUGCGUUGCUUUUCAAAAGAGAUUUUUACAUUUCAAUUUGCAUGACCAAGCUGAGCUGGGAAAAUAAAAUCUACCAGGUUAUCUUGGAGCUCUCUGCUCGCAAGCACAUGAACCACAAGUUUAUCAUGGGGGAUUAAUCAAUAGAAUAGAAGGUACAAAUAUUAAAUUUGUAGAUUACUCACAAAAUUGAAAAUCUCCCUAAAAAAAGCAUUGUUUCUGGUGCAUUUCCAUAUCCCAGGCUCACACCAGGCACCCAGAGAACCAAAUGUUCCUUGUGUUCUGUAGUCUCCCACCAGUCCAGCCCUGUGGACCCUACUCCCCGCUGUAUGGGGUCACCAGUCUUGGUUUCUGAUGUCAAACACACCCUCAUCACCAUUCCCAACUUACCUUGGUUCUUCAGAAUCUACUCCACUCUUACUUGCCGAGCAAAGAGGCCCCAUUUUUAGGUCUUCUUUGUGAACUGCCACCUUACUUUGCCUCUCCUCUCUCUAAAGAGUUGAAGGUCCAAUUCAUGCCAUGCAAGGCAGCACACAAAAUACCUUUAUCUUAGCUCCCCUUCACAAGACUUCACUGAUUCUUAUCUUAGAGCAGGCUUGUUUUCCAAUUAGUGGCUAAUAGACAAAACUAUCUGGAUACCCUCAGAAAAAUGUAAAAGGGUACUGCUAUUUUGAUCUGCAAAAAAUAAAAAUAAAAAAUAUAUAUAAAUAUAUAUAUAAAUAUAUAAAUAUAUAAAUAUAUAAAUAAAUAUAUAAAUAUAUAAAUAAAUAUAUAUAUAAAUAUAUAUAAAUAUAUAAAUAUAUAUAUAAAUAUAUAUAUAAAUAUAUAUAAAUAUAUAAAUAUAUAUACAUAUAUAUAAAUAUAUAUAUAUAUAUAAUCCAAAGGCCACAUACAAGCCUGUGCCAGAGCAUUUCAAAUUUACCAAACUUACAAAGGCUAAAUUAUACCAAAUUUACAAAGGCUAAAGAGUGAAUUAAUAAAUGAAUGAAUGGACACAUCUUUAUUUUUCUAUGAUCAUCUUCCUCAAGUAUCCUCACCCAACAGAAGUAUAGAGGUUGACCUAAACUGCUAAUUGUGAAUAUAUCCCUCUUCUUUCUAUGUAGUAAGUCAGUCUCUGUGCUGUAAAUAUUUCUUGAAGACAUUUUUUCUAUUGCCUCCUUACCAAGAUGGCAACUGAAAGUAGGAGAAAGUUUUUAGCUAUUUUGUAUUGGUAGAGGAGUUCUACCUUGCCUCCGUCUCUUUUUGGUGUGCUUUCCACAGCAGGACAGCUGAUUUCUGGGUGAGUGCUAUGGAAUGUCUUUUGAGAUGUAUAUCUAGUCCAGUCUCUGGGUUUCCUACUGGUAGAUGUUGCUGCUGUCUGCCCCAGAGGCUCCUGUGGUCCACUUGUUUGGCAUGGCCAGAGGUCUUAGCCUCACCUCAGUUAUCUGGUUCUGUGGAUGCCUCCAGAGAACAGACUGUGACAAGUAGACUAUCCGCGAUGUCGGUGCUGCUCUGUUGCACUCAGUUAUGGAGCCACAUCGCUGCUGUCACAGCGCUUCUCCCUGUUAAGUUUUCCAACCAGUCCAUCAAUUGUCUUAUCAUCCUCUGCUCAAUUACCCCCCUACACACUUGUCAGGCCCUUUCCCCUCAGGAGCUCAGGGUCAUGCAGCUCUGAAAUGUUAACUUGGGCUUAGCUUAUACCAUCGUUCUUCAAUUUCGCUUCUCCAUGUUGGAGAGGAGCCGUACAACAGAACUUCUGUACAGACUAUGAAAGAGGAACUCAUCAAAGCUCUGUGCCUUUUAUCUUUCUUUUGUUUAUGAUGUCUCUUCCCCUCUGUGAGGGAGGUCAGGAGAUCUUUCUUUCACUCACUCUUCCUUCUCCUCCCCACAAAUCACCAGACUGGAAGAACCAGCUUUUCUUUUUCUCUUACUGUCUUGCAGUGACUUUUGCCUUGUUAUAUUAUCCUUUUUCUCUGGAAGACUAAAACCUGAAAACUUACUUUUAAUGGUAGAUAGGAUGAAAAAACUUACUUUUAAUGGUAGAUAGGAUGAAAAAAGGGAAAUAAGCUUAUAAGUAAUGAACAUACAUGGAUUAGAAUUUUAGAAAUACUACUUUUUAAUUACCUCUUUUACACAUGUUGCUUUCCUGGCAUACUAAAAGGAGAGAUUAACUUAUAAGAUGCUCCAUGAAGUAUUCUAUUGAAGUUAGGGGAAGACGAAUACCCAGGGUCUCAUACCAAAAUAAUAAGUUACACAUGUAAGACAUUGCUACGUGCCAGGUUCUGUUCUAAUUGUGCUACACAUAUUAAUUCACAUUCUCAAAACAAUCCUAUAAAGUAGGCACUAUUAUUUUCACUACUUUAAAAGUAAGGAAGAAAAAGUAUGGAGAAGCUAUUUAUCUAAGGCCAAACAGCUAGUUAAUAUAAGAACUAGAUUUCAAUGCAGACAAUUUCCUUGUUUGGAAAUUCCAGCAGAGACAAAGCCAAGAUUAUAUAUAUAUAUUUUUUAAAAUAAUAAUAAUGAUAAGCAAUUCACUUGGAAAAUAAAAGAUUUGAGGUUUUCAUUGAACAAGAAUUCUAUAUAAAUAAGCCAACAAUAAAAUGUGGCAGUUAAAGUAAUCACAAUGGAUCUUAACCAGCAGUAGCCAGUAGGUAAAAUAAUCAUAAUUAAUCUGAAUCAGCAGAAACUGAAGCAGAGAGUGGAACUCACAAGAAAGAGCAGCUAUUCCAUGUUCUUCACUGGACAUAGCAUAGCUGUAGUACUAGGAUUUAUCCUUGAGACUACACACAGUGAAAGAUACCAGGAAACUGAGGUCCACUCAAAUGAGGGCAACCCAAGUAAUAAGGGUAAUGAAAACCAAUUUCAAAUCACAUCUUGACAUAUCUGAGGGUAUUUAAACUGGAAAAGAGAAAAUCAGGGAAAAUGAUAGUGAUCCCUAAACCCUUAUAAAUCAGUAAGAAAACAAAAAUAGACUUGCUUUGUGCCAUGGAAACUGCAGUUCUCCCACACAUCUCCCAGCGGGGAUACACUUCUUUUUAGUCAUUUGGUAGGUGAAUCCCAACUGAUGUGUUACUAAAAACAAUUAAAGACUACAAGUCUGUGAUUGAGACUCACUGGUUAUAAAUUAGAGAUUCCAGUUUACUCCCAUAACAUCACUUUUAUUAAUUCAUUCUUUAUUGAAAGAGAUCCUGGUAAAUGUAUAUCCACUGGAAUGUCACAUAAACUCAGUUAAGCUCAACAGAGUAUUUCUCAUAUGUAAACCUCUUUAGAAGGUAGAACUAGUGUCUGGGAUUUACAUGGAGCUGAACUUUAAUAUUAAUAUGACAAUAUGGGAUCUAAUAGUGGAAGGGUUAUAACUUAACAUGAAAAUUAAUAAUUAUCACAAUACUGUUAGAUAGAUCCUGAUACACUGAGGCUGUCUAACUUUCUUUUCAAUAAGAUAAUACAUUUUUAUUGAAAGAAAAAAGAACUUUCUCACACCUUCUCCUGCUUUUAGCUCUAGUAUUCACUUUACUCCUAUUUGUUGCAUACAGCCCAGCCUUUCCCAAAGUGUAGAAGACAUAUGUGGCAUAUGGGUUUAGCAGGCAUAGGGAAUAGAUUUAGUUUGUGGCACAUAAACCUCAAAUGAAAUAAAAAAUAUAAUUUCAAUUUUCUUUCUGUCCUUCUGUCAAAGAGAAAUUCUCAGUUUAGUACUACCCAUCUUCAGCAAUCUUGAAUGCUUACAUAACUUACUGUGCUCCAACUUUUUCAGACAACCAUAUCUAAAUAAUUGUGUUUUUAUCGCAUCUUUUAUAUGAUUACUUUCUAUGUAACUGUCUUUAUGCUAGUAAUAGAAACCUUCCCUUUUGAUAAAAAGUUAUUUGAACAAAAGAGUAAAUUAACAUAAAGAACAUCAUUAAGUAAUGGCACAGUUGGUACAGGACAUGACCAUAUUGGAGAAGGUGGUCUGAUAAUGACUGCGUUACAGUAUCUUUGGGGUGUUUUCUGGCUGGAACCUCUGUGGCCACAGCACCUUUGUCUGAGUUCUUGUCUUGCAUCCAGGGAGAAUGAGGUAGGCAGACAAGCGAAGGAUGAACAAGAUGAAGAUGAGCUUUAUUGAGUGUUACAACAGCUCAGAGGAGACCCACAGUGGGUAGCUCUCUCUGUAGGCAGGUCAUCCAUCAAGUGUUCCAUUCUCAGCAGAGAGGAGGCCCUCAAGAGGGUAGCUACCUUCUGCAACUGGUCAUCCUGAGGUCUGUAGCUCUCAGCGGACAGGAGGCCUGGAGAGAGUGGCUCCUCUCUGCCAGCAGGUCUUGUCUGCAGCUCUCAGCAGAGAAGGUGGUCUCUCUGCCCUGUUUGUCCUCUGGCUGUCCUCUGUCCUGCUCUGGCUGAGCCCAGGGCUUUUAUGGACCUCAGAGAGGAGGAAGUGUGUGCCAAUUGGUCCAUGGGUGGCCAUGGGCAGCCAGGAAGAGGAAUCAUGAGUCCCUACUGUUGCCUGCAGGACUGUCAGCCCGUCCCCCAGCCUUCAGACCCUCCUUAACCUGAAGGUGGGGCCUUACUGGGGACCCACCCCCCUGCAUCUAGGAAUCAAUCUGCCUCCCAUUGCCUUUCAUAGCCCCUGGGGCCAGUCCCCAAACCCCUCUGAGAGAUCAAAGCAGUCACCUGGAGCAGAGAGAGGCCAGUCAGCGGCAGCAGACACCCCUGAGCCUGCAGGGUUGGGGAAAGAGAAAGGUCCUUCAUGGGGCCCCCGAGGGUGCACACUGCAGAGAUGCCCAGGUCUUGUCCCUAGGAAAGCAGCUGCAGUGGCACUGGGGGAGCUCAGGCUCCAACUCAGAAAGGGCGGGGCUCCCACUGGCUCCAUGAAGUGUGCAGCCCCAGCCCCUCCUCCCUGCUGCAGCCAUCGUGAUGGCAGCAGCCACCGCCAUCAACUGGACUUUAGGAAACACUGGACAGUCUUUCUAAAACCAUCUACCUUCAAUAUGCUAAUAAUGGGAUGGGGGGGUGAGCUUACUGUUUGCUGAAGUUUGAGUGAUUGCCCCAGAAUUCAUGGGUUGGAAAUUCAGUUCCAAAUGUGGAAGUGUUGGGAGACUGGGCCUUUAAGAAGUCAGAGAAAUUAAUGCUGCUCUGGCAGAACUUGGCUUAUUCUCAUGGGAGUGACUGAGACCUUGCUCUUGCUCUCAUGAGACUAGAUUAGCUACUGAAAAAGUAGCUUAUUAUAAAGUAAGGUCACCCCUCUGUUUCACCCCUUUUGCAACUGCCACUUCCUUUUCUGCUAUUCUGCCUCAUUAUAAUGUGGUACAAAAGCCCUCACCAAAAGCUGCCACCAUGCUCUUGGAUUUCACAGCUCCAAAACUAUAAGUAAAGUAAACUUCUUUUCUUUAUAAAUUAUCUAUUCUUGGGUAUUCUGUGAUGUCAACAGAAAACAGAUCAAGAUACUCUUAUUCAUCACUUAUACAUCUAUUCUUAAUUAGAUGAUCUUUUUUCAUGCCUCAUUUAUACAAAGUGUCUUAUGACCCUUCAAAAUAAGCAAUAAGUAUUCCUAUUAAAGAACAUGGCCUGGUGUAUUUAAUUGCCUGUUAACCAGUCUAUUCCUCGAGAAUGUCAAAAGCAAUACAUCUUGACUUGCUAUUCUUGUGAAAUGUAUGUAGUAUACACUAGAUUGUCAAAAACUUUGACAAUAAAUGAAUAAAUCAAACUGCCCAUAAAUAGAAUCAUGAUUUUCAUACCCCUAUCUAAGCACUCACAUAUAUUUUCCCCUUGUCUUGUAUGCAAUAUUCUGCUACUUAUUUUUCACUUUGGUACCUUCAUGCAAUAAGACAUAUAAUAUUCUGCUUUUAGAUUACACACUUGUGUAAUGUAUUUAUUAUACUUCCAAAAUAUUUAGGUUUUCCGUGUCAGUUUUCUGUGUUAUUAGUGCUUAAGUUUUUAGAGGCCAAAGUAGGGACUAUGUGAAAGUUUCCUUCCCAUCGAGCAAAAUGUUAUAACAAACUAAUCAUAUUAUGAGUGCAUUCAGCUAUGUGCGUUUUACUCUUUGAUAAAAUGGCCAAUUAUGGUGAGACUUAAACAACAAGUUCUACACUUUGACAUUGCUAAUAAGUAAAUAGCUAUACUAUGUGUUUGUUUUAAAGCUCAGAGACUGAACCCUAAAAUUGAGGAAAUUCAUUUAGAGGUAAAUCAUUGAAAUACCAUCUAAAGAAUAAAAGAAAAAUAGGAUUCUACAUUUUUGACAUUCUGUACUUACUUCCCAAGUUUCAACUGUGCUUAAUACUUAUUUGGUUUAUGUUUGAUUUAUGAGAUGCUAUAUUUCCAAUCUUAGGGAAGACAAGAGUUUUUAAUACUCCUGACAUUCUGCCAUUUCUCAUGCCAUGUUCUUGAACUUGGGGCCUGAAUGCUUGGUUUAUUAAGACUGCUUCUAAAGCUGAAUACUUUUUAUUAUACAUUUCCUGUCACGUUUUUGAAAAAGUGUUCUACCUCACCAAAUAAAAGCGAUUCCCACUGCUCAUCUUCGAAGUCAUGGGAGUGUUGAAAUCUC
rnacentral:lncRNA from 1 species